ensembl:misc_RNA Metazoa_SRP Metazoan signal recognition particle RNA
GCCAGGCAUGGUGGUGAGUGCCUGUAGUCCCAGCUACUCGAGAGGCUGAGGUAGGAGGAUCGCUUGAGCUCAGGAGUUCUAGGCUGUAGUGCCCUACGCCAAUUGGCUGUCCGUACUAAGUUCAGCAUCAAUAUGGUGACCUCCUGGGAGCAGGGGACCACCAGGUUGCCUAAGGAGGGGUGAACCGGCCCAGGUCGGAAACAGAGCAGGUCAAAACUCCAGUGCCGAUCAGUAGUGGGAUCGAGCCCAUGAAUAGCCACUGCGCUCCAGCCUGGGCAACAGAGCAAGACCCUGUCUCUA